rnacentral:rRNA from 1 species
AUAGAUCGUACAGAUUACAUGGAUAUCUGUGGUAAUUCUAGAGCUAAUACAUGCACACAAUCCGUUUCCUCGUGAAGCGGACGCAGUUAUUUGCCUUAAAAACCAAUCCGGCCUUCGGGUCGGUCAAUUGGUGACUCUGAAUAACCGAAGCAGAGCGCAUGGUCUCGUACCGGCGCCAGAUCUUUCAAGUGUCUGACUUAUCAGCUUGUCGUUAGGUUAUGUUCCUAACGAGGCAACGACGGGUGACGGGUGAUCAGGGUCUGACACCGGAGAGGGAGCCUGAGAAACGGCUACCACAUCCAAGGAAGGCAGCAGGCGCGCAAAUUACCCACUCCCGGCACGGGGAGGUAGUGACGAAAAAUAACGAUGCGAGAGCUUUAUGCUCCUCGUAAUCGGAAUGGGUACACUUUAAAUCCUAUAACGAGGAUCUAUUGGAGGGCAAGUCUGGUGCCAGCAGCCGCGGUAAUUCCAGCUCCAAUAGCAUAUAUUAAAGUUGCUGCGGUUAAAAAGCUCGUAGUUGGAUCUGGGUAGUCGAUGGACGGUGCGCCUCACGGCGUCUACUGUUCGUUCGGCACCACAUGCCGGCCAUGUCUUGCAUGCUCUUCACUGAGUGUGCUUGGCGACCGGAACGUUUACUUUGAAAAAAUUAGAGUGCUCAAAGCAGGCGUUAAGCCUUGCAUAAUGGUGCAUGGAAUAAUGGAAUAGGACCUCGGUUCUAUUUUGUUGGUUUUCGGAGCUCGAGGUAAUGAUUAACAGGAACAGACGGGGACAUUCGUAUUGCGGCGUUAGAGGUGAAAUUCUUGGAUCGUCGCAAGACGCACUACUGCGAAAGCAUUUGUCAAGAAUGUUUUCAUUAAUCAAGAACGAAAGUUAGAGGUUCGAAGGCGAUCAGAUACCGCCCUAGUUCUAACCAUAAACGAUGCCAACCAGCGAUCCGUCGGUGUUUAUAUGAUGACUCGACGGGCAGCUUCCGGGAAACCAAAGUGCUUAGGUUCCGGGGGAAGUAUGGUUGCAAAGCUGAAACUA